GUUGAAUUGGCCUGAAGGUGGGGAAGGGCGUCCUGGGAGGAACCUGGGGGGGAGGUCGCCUCGUGUCCUCUGCCCUCUCGCCUUGUCUGUCUGGAAUUUGUUUGUCAUUUUCUCCCCUCCUAUGCCGCGAGGCCUCUGUGGCUCCCUCUUGUUUCUCCCAGCACCUAAUGUUAGAUGUACAGCCCGUCGUUGGUGCUUAAUUAGUAUAUGCAUUAAGGGAUAUUUAUGGAACAGCCGCAUGCAGUUAGCAUAAUUCAAACAGAUCUCCUAUAAACUCGGUCUGUACCAGUGGCUAAAAACUUACCGUGGAGACAAAGCAUACCUGUGUUUCUCUUAAUUUAUGUUCCAUUAUGUGUGCUUGGUUUAAAAAAAAAAAAAAAGAUUAUAAUAACAGCAAUGAUAAUUAAGGAAAAAAGAACAAGUGAAGUAAUUUAAGCAGCAUACGGAUUUAAGCUCCCCACUGUAGCCAGUGAGCACAUGCCCGGAGUGUGUACAAAAUGAAAGUGUUUGGGAAGUUAAAAACCCCCCUCUCCCGUUUCUCCUUCUUCUGAGGCAGGGCUGGGGAACAUCUGGCCCAUGGGCUGUACGAGGCCCAGGAAAUCAUUGGGUCUGGCCCUGCCAAGGCAUUAGGGGGGAGUAAAUGAAAUGUUUGACCCAACACAGCAGGCUAAUUUUUAAGUUGAUCAUUUUGUAUGGCCCGCGAAGGAUGUUACAAAUACCCAAAUGGCCCUUGGCAGGAAAAAGGUUCUCCACCCCUGUUCUAAGUGGACAUCUUGACCCGCUGAGCAUGACUUAGGUCUUCAGAGAUACAGAUGUUUCCUAGCCCCUUUGCCCAUCCCACAUGGGAACUGCAUCAUCAGGUCCCGAACUAAAAAUCCAAAAUACAAACUAGCCCUAUGCGGGACUCACUGAGAUAGACCGAAAGAAAAUGUCUGCCUAAAAAGGAUUUGCUAGUAUGUUGAGGGAUCUUUAGGGAUAAUCAUUCAUGAUAACUGCCCCCCCCCUCCCCUCCACUGGUCUUAGAACCUAGUGCCAUGUGUGAUGGGGUUCCGUCACGUCCUGUCCUCCUGUGUUGGGGAUGCUUUGGGGCACCAGGAAAGUAUGAGAAUCAUAGUUGCCUCCAGGAUCUGAUGCAUUUUAUAAAGAAGCAUCCUGGGUGGCGGGGAGUAGAGAGUAUUGGGAACUGGUUUGUGUGGCCUUGUAGGAUUCUGAGAAGGGCGUGUGACUUUUCUUUUAUUCUCUGGUUUUGAAACUCACACAAGGACAACGUGUGGCGUUCUCCACUGGCCAUUGUCACACAUCUCAUUCCGGGGUUGGACUCACGUCCUGCUGAGCUCUCAGUCCCCUCAGAAGCCCCGCCCAGUCUCUGGCACGUAGGAGAGGCUCCGUAAGCAUGAGGGGGCGAGCGACCAUAGGCCCCUGUGCGGCAGGGGAGAGACCUGAGCCGGGAGUGGGGUGCACAGGUUUUCGUCUCAUCUCACACUAAUGACCUGUCUGGCUUGGGCAGAGCUAAUUAACUUUUCUUUGUUUAUCUGUGAAAACACAGUAAGAUGUUUCUCCACCUCUCAUCUGGUGCCGGGGAAGGAUCAAAUGGCCUGAUGUACAGGAAAGGGCCCUGAGCAGAGUGAGCAGCAGCAGCUGCUGCUGUUACAGCUGCAGCGAAUGGGCUUGGCCGGGCAGCAGAGACGAGAGGCAGUGAGCCAAAGUGGGCUCUGCAGCAGGAGGGUCACAGGAAGAAGAAGACAGGAUUUGGAAACACUAUCCUGACAGCAACAGAGAAGGGAGGAGAAAGAACUUUGCAUUCGGGGUGAAUUUUCAGGAAACUUUUGUUUGCUUCAAAUAGUUUUAAGAAGUGGGUGAGCAUCCAGUUCUAGUUGGUAAUUGAACAAGGGCUUGUGUACUAAAAGGCGGAUUUUGAGCCGUAUUUAAAUGAUUGCCCAUCGACAAGGCCUAAUAAGUGCUAAGUGGUUGGGAACAAAGAACAGUAAGAUUUGGCCUCUACUUAGAAUAAUGAUAACAAGGGGAAGAGAGCCAGUAGAGAGAGACUGCUGAGAGAGUGCCGCCUGGGAUAGAGAGUUGCUUGGGCUGCCCCAGUGCAGAGCUGUGCUUUCAGGAAGUGUGGACGGGGGGAGUAUGAGGUCCAGGGGAGGACAGAGACUCGGGUAAGUUGGUGCAGAUCAGCUCAGAUGUCUUACAGGUUUGGGAGAGUUACUGCAGACUUUUUAAUGCAGGGGGGGUGGAAUGCUCACACUUCAGGGAAGCACGGAAUCUGCCUUCCUCCUUUUUCUCGAGUCAUUACUAAAUGGUGUUCCUUUUCUGAAUCGAGUGCCCUGAAGACAGACAGAUAGCGUGACUUUGCUACUUAUCAGUUAUGACUUACUCAGCGCCUGUUCCCCAUCCAUCCUUGGAACUCUGAGCCCCGCUCUAUGUUGUGGCCACAUCUCUUUCCUACAAAGGGAAAUUGACCAUGGGGUGGGUGUCAUUUGCAUAUGGACUUCUGAAAAGGGUACAUGUGAACUAGGGGUUAGAAAUCUGAUCAACAGUGGUCUGUUACUUAGAAACCGAACCCAGUACUAUAUUCAAUGAGGCAAUUUCAUUCAUAAGCAUGCAUUUCCCAUUUCCUUCCAAAAAGCAGACUAAG